ensembl:snRNA U6 U6 spliceosomal RNA
CCUCAAUAUAAAACUAGAAACUCAUAAAAUUGGAAUGAUACAGAGAAGAUUAGCAUGGCCCCUGUGCAAGGACAACACAUAAAUCCAUGAAGCAUUGCAUAUUUUU